AAAGUCGUACCAAGGUUUCCGGUAGGUGAACCUGC
rnacentral:rRNA from 1 species